UUGACCUCAANUCGGGUGAGACUACCCGCUGAACUUAAGCAUAUCAAUAAGCGGAGGAAAAGAAACUAACAAGGAUU
rnacentral:rRNA from 1 species